UACAGAGGGGGCAAGCGUUGUUCGGAAUUACUGGGCGUAAAGGGCGCGUAGGCGGCCAUGUAAGUCAGACGUGAAAUCCCCCGGCUUAACCUGGGAACUGCGUCUGAUACUGGACGGCUUGAGUAUGGGAGAGGGAUGUAGAAUUCCAGGUGUAGCGGUGAAAUGCGUAGAUAUCUGGAGGAAUACCGGUGGCGAAGGCGGCAUCCUGGACCAUUACUGACGCUGAGGCGCGAAAGCUAGGGGAGCAAACGGG
rnacentral:rRNA from 1 species